rnacentral:rRNA from 1 species
UCCGUAGGUGAACCUGCGGAAGGAUCAUUAGAGAGCCUUCGGGCAUGACAUUCAAAACCUGUGAACCGCCUCCGGGCACGCCUCCGGGCUUCAAACAUGGUGUAACGAACGUCAUCAUUAGAAAUAAAACACAACUUUCAACAAUGGAUCUCUUGGCUCUCGCAUCGAUGAAGAACGCAGCGAAAUGCGAUAAGUAAUGUGAAUUGCAGAAUUCAGUGAAUCAUCGAAUCUUUGAACGCACCUUGCACCCUCUGGUAUUCCGGAGGGUAUGCCUGUUUGAGUGUCAUGAAGCAUCAACCCCGACGGGAGACCGUCUCGGUUGGAUUUGGGUGUCUGCCGUCCGCGGCUCGCCUUAAAAGCAUUAGUGGUCUGGCCUUGACUCCGGCGUAUUAGGUUCCGUCGGCCGAGUGGUCAUCUGCUUACAACCCGCCCUCGGGCAACUUCUUUGACUUGACCUCAGAUCAGGUAGGACUACCCGCUGAACUUAAGCAUAUCAAUAAGCGGAGGA